AUGCCAAUGACUCAUCGAUUGUAUACUUGUAAAAACAAAGUAGUUAGAAUAUCACAGAAAAUAUUUUCAUAAAAAACUCUCUUUGAUUAUGAUAUGGAAGAAUGUAUUCUCACUAAAGAGUUCACAAGUCAAAUAAUUUGAAAAAAAUAAAUUCGAUCAAAGUACUGUGGUAUAAAUGAAUUUAGUCUAUUUGUAUAGUAAUUCAGUUAACUCUGUUCAGAAAUAACAUUAUUGAAAAGCAAUUAAGACUAGAAAGUUGUGACAAAUAGCAACAAACCAUCGUGCCAAAACCGGUCACGCCGUCUAGGAAUCGUGUCACACAAUGAAUAAUCGAUAAUCAUCACAUCAAUAAAUGUCAACUAAAUAAGUGAUGCAAUUUACCAUGAGUGCGGUCGGACACCGAGUCAGGCGGAGUGGGAUAGAACGUUCCUCUGUCACUGUCUACAGCGUCGUCUUCGCCCCUCUUCUUGCUUAUCGCCUGCAAUCCCAGCAAGAUAACAGCACAGGUGUCAGCAGCCACAUUGUUAUUGCACUCGUUUCACAAUCAUCACAAACAACAACUCGCACUUAUCUCCUACAAUGCAGUGUCGCAUUCACAACUCUCAAGUGUUUCAGCUAUUCAUGUAAGCUGACAUGGUAAAUGAAUUGAACGUAUGUGUACGUGUAUGAACAGUACUCGUAUUUUGAACUCCUACACUCCUAGGAUUACUACAAAAUAGUACAUCAUCGUCACAUUUACUAAUGUGAUAAACUACUCUUAGGAAAUUUACUAGUCAACCAGGAUUGACAGCUAUACCAGUAGCUGAAGAUGCAACAGAGGACAGGUACAUAAAAGCUUGUAGCACAAAUGUCUACCGCAUCAAACUAAAACAUUCGGUAUACUCCACAAGAAGGACAGUUUUUCAAGGGAACACUCCAUAUCUCAUAACUCAUGCAAAACACAAAAUAUAACUUUUCAUCAUUAUCAACAAAAACAACUAAAAUUAAUUUCCCAAAUUCCCUACUCAUCUCACAGUAAAAAAACUGAAAGCUCUAAUUACAAAAGAAGAUUGUGCGUGAGUAGACAAUACCAAGAGUGACAAUAACGUUUCUGAAAAUAGCAGACAUGAUUAAAAGAAAAUCCGGCAGUGAUAUGUUCAAACUUCACAAUUAAUUAUUUAAAUACAUCUAUUAA